UGGGGAAUAUUGGACAAUGGGCGCAAGCCUGAUCCAGCCAUGCCGCGUGAGUGAUGAAGGCCUUAGGGUUGUAAAGCUCUUUUAGCAGGGAAGAUAAUGACGGUACCUGCAGAAAAAGCCCCGGCUAACUUCGUGCCAGCAGCCGCGGUAAUACGAAGGGGGCUAGCGUUGCUCGGAAUUACUGGGCGUAAAGCGCACGUAGGCGGACUCUUAAGUCGGUGGUGAAAUCCUGGAGCUCAACUCCAGAACUGCCUUCGAUACUGGGAGUCUUGAGUUCGGGAGAGGUGAGUGGAACUGCGAGUGUAGAGGUGAAAUUCGUAGAUAUUCGCAAGAACACCAGUGGCGAAGGCGGCUCACUGGCCCGAUACUGACGCUGAGGUGCAAAAGCGUGGGGAGCAAACA
rnacentral:rRNA from 1 species